GUAGGCAUAGUUUAAAAAAAAACAUUAGAUUGUGAUUCUAAAGACAGGGGUUAAACUCCUCUUGCCCACC
rnacentral:tRNA from 1 species